rnacentral:lncRNA from 1 species
CUCCAAUAGACCCGAGACGCUGCUGGCUACUCUGUGAUUCAAAGGGCAGGCAACCCCAGUAGGACGCGCUCAGAGAAGCGAGAGGGGGGAUUUGAUGCAGAUGAUCAUCAUGGCUUGGAGAAACAAUGAAGGAAGCAAAGUAUGCCAUCUAUGCUGCGGGAGGUAACUCCAGAAGACCCCAGAGAGAACGAGUUUGGACUUUUAACUGAGGGCCAUUGGAAACUACUGAAGAGUUUUAGGCAGCAUAAGAACUACUAGAUUUUCAUUGUGGGAGGAUCCUCAGCAGCAGCCUCAGAAAGGAGAUUGGGGAAGGAGAUCCCUAGUCAGGGAGACCAAGAAGACUACUGGAAAAAAACAGGGGAAUCCUCAAGGACCUGCAAACAAGAAACCAAAUCCCCCCACUCCCCCCAGCCAAAAUGUGUUCAUUUUGACCAGCUGUGUGUGUGUUUUAAAUUAAAAGUUUGAAUUAGAAAGCAAGUAGGAUAAAUUUAUAUACUUAGAUGUAUAAAUUUAAAUACCUGGCCCCUGAAGCACUUCUGAUAGGUCUCAGCUACCCAAACAAGAAGAACGGAAUCUUUGAAUCCCCAGGACUCAACGCAGUACUGGACACAAAAUGGGAGCUGAAAAAGUGUGUGUGGAGUCAGUGAAGGAUGCAAUUUCCCCUCAUUGUAGAGAUGAAGAAGCUGAGGCUGCAGAGUAGAAUAGGAGCAGACAGUGGGGAUUGUCUUCAAAGUAGGUUCCUAGUUCCUGGCUCAGAGGUCCCAGUUUUUGUUGACCAUGGACAGUAAAACUCCCUGGGGAAGCGGGCCCAGUCUCAGGAGAGCAGUUUUGAUUGGUCUAAGUUUGUGAUUGACUUAGGAACUGUCUGGCCAAUGAAAUAUGAGGGAAAGCCUGGGGGAUUCUGGGAAAGGUUUUGUAAACCAAAAAGUAUUUGAGACAUGUCUCAAUUUUAGAGGAUUAUUUUGCCAAGGUUAAGGACCAUUGCCCAUACAGCCUCAGGAGGCCCUGAGAACAUAUACCCAAGGUGGUUGGGGUACAGCUUCAUUUUAUACAUUUUAGGGAGUCAGAAGUUACAGGCAAAGACAUAAAUCAAUACAUGCAAGGUAUACAUUGGUUUGGCCCAGAGAGGUGGAACAUCUAGAAGCAGGAGCUUCCAGGUCAUAAGUGGAUUCAAAGAUUUCCUGAUUGGCAGUUUGUUGACAGAGUUAAGCUCCGCCCCAAGAGUUGAUGUCAGCUUAAAUUAAGGUAAGGGGGUGCUUUGUGGAAACCAACGUUCUUAUCAUGUAUAUGAAGCCUCCAGGCUUCAGCGAGAAUAGAUGUGAAUGUCUUUUAUUGGACCUUAAAAAUUGUCAGACUUUCUGGAAAAGACCUAAUAAGGGAAUCUUUACAGAACAUAAUUUUUUCACCCACAAGUGACAGCUUGGCAGGGCCGUUUCAAAAUAUGUAAAGAAAUAUAAUUUGAGGUAAAAUAAUUUGAUUUCCUUCAGGGCCCACUGGCUGUCACGUGAUGUUAUACCAGAGUCAGAUUGGAAUCUGUUGUCUUACUGCUACCAAGAUUUUGUCUUGACAGUCUUAAGAUUCCUGUUUUAAUGUCAGUUCUGGUCAGUUGUGUCUAAACUCAAAAGGAAGGAGGGUAUAAUGAGGCAUGUUUCACCCCCUCUUUCCCAUCAUGGCCUGAACUAGUUUUUCAGGUGUUUUUUUGAAUCCCUUUGGCCAAGGGGGAUCCAUUCAGUCAGCUGAGGGGCUUAGAAUUUUAUUUUUGGUUUAUAGUUUCCUCUUGAUUAAAGAAGGAAGUCUGCAAUGUGGGUUUGUAACCUAGUUUUUAAUAACUUUACAUCAGACUUGUAAUUUAUUGUUACUUUCUGAAGACACACUGAUAAAACCUCUCUACCAUGACGUCAUUGCAUGUUUUCACGGUAGAAAUUCUAAUUAUUUGCUAAAGUGAAAAUAAAGUCAAACAUGCCUAA